GAUGAUCUCCUGAGGUCUCUUCCAACCCUAAUAUUCUAUGAUUUUGUGAAAGUCAGAAUUGAAUUCUGUUUUAGGCUUCAGAAUAUUGUACUGUGUAUAAGAAUAUUUAUACUGUGGAACAUUUGCUUGUAUACUGUACAUGUCUUAGAUGUUUAGCUUUUGAUCUUGUUGGAUACUUAUCUUGAAAUGUAGAGCAGGUUUCUUAAUUUAAGGACAAUGAGAAAUGAUUUCCAAUGUUUUGUCAAUACAGAAAGUGGAACAUUAACUCGUUGGAAGAAAAGGAUUGCAGAAAUAAAGAAAACAGCUUCUGCUGGAAAGUUGCUGCAGUUCUGCCUUUUUUCCACCAGAGGGAGCUGUGGCACUAGAACCGAGCAGCAUCCUCUGCAGAAAAUAACUUCACUGGAAAGUUGCUGCAGUUCCGCCUUCUAGCCAUCAGAGGCUGCUGUGGUGAUAGAACAGAGCAGCAGCUCCUGGCCAGCUAGGGAAGAGAGAGAGCCUGCGGUGCCUUCUUCACAGCGCUUGUCAAGCCAGGGGGAAGUUUGGAUUCUAAACCAGAGUGCAGUUGGAAACCUGAGUACACCACUAUGUAGAUGCAUCGAGGAUGCUCCUCCACACCUGGGGUUGGGAAGAAGCUGGACAAAAUAUUGUGGUGGGGGUUGGCUGGAAGGUGGCUGGACUGGGGACAAGGCUGGUUGGCAAAGCUGAAUGAUGGAGGGGAGAAGGGUAUAGGGCAAGGAUCAGUAGUUCAUUUGGCCUACAUGCGAUCUACAACUGCCACAAUGACCACUAACUCCUAUCAACAAG